AACGUAGGUACCGAGCGUUAUCCGGAUUUACUGGGCGUAAAGCGCGUUCAGGCGGCCUGACAAGUCGGGCAUGAAAUCUCUCGGCUCAACCGGGAGGGGUUGUCCGAUACUGUUGGGCUUGAGGGCAGUAGAGGGUGGUGGAAUUCCGGGUGUAGUGGUGAAAUGCGUAGAGAUCCGGAGGAACACCAGUGGCGAAGGCGGCCACCUGGACUGCACCUGACGCUGUAGCGCGAAAGCUAGGGGAGCGAACGGG
rnacentral:rRNA from 1 species